AUAUUCACUUCAGCAGCACAUACACCGAAAAUGGAAUGAUCCAGAGAAGAUUAGCAUUUCCCCUGUGCAUGGAGGACAUACAAAUUCAUGAAGCAUUCCAUAUUUCU